rnacentral:rRNA from 1 species
UGGGGAAUUUUGGACAAUGGGGGCAACCCUGAUCCAGCCAUGCCGCGUGAGUGAAGAAGGCCUUCGGGUUGUAAAGCUCUUUCGGCCGGGAAGAAAUCGCAUCUCCUAAUACGGGGUGUGGAUGACGGUACUGGAAGAAGAAGCACCGGCUAACUACGUGCCAGCAGCCGCGGUAAUACGUAGGGUGCGAGCGUUAAUCGGAAUUACUGGGCGUAAAGCGUGCGCAGGCGGCGCCAUAAGACAGCUGUGAAAUCCCCGGGCUUAACCUGGGAACUGCGGUUGUGACUGUGGUGCUUGAGUGCGGCAGAGGGGGUGGAAUUCCACGUGUAGCAGUGAAAUGCGUAGAGAUGUGGAGGAACACCGAUGGCGAAGGCAGCCCCCUGGGUCGACACUGACGCUCAU